rnacentral:rRNA from 1 species
CCUACGGGAGGCAGCAGUGGGGAAUAUUGGGCAAUGGGCGAAAGCCUGACCCAGCAACGCCGCGUGAAGGAAGAAGGCUUUCGGGUUGUACACUUCUUUUGACAGGGAAGAGCAGAAGACGGUACCUGUCGAAUAAGCCACGGCUAACUACGUGCCAGCAGCCGCGGUAAUACGUAGGUGGCAAGCGUUGUCCGGAUUUACUGGGUGGAAAGGGCGUGUAGCCGGGCUGACAAGUCAGAUGUGAAAUCCGGGGGCUCAACCCCCGAACUGCAUUUGAAACUGUUGGUCUUGAGUAUCGGAGAGGCAGGCGGAAUUCCUAGUGUAGCGGUGAAAUGCGUAGAUAUUAGGAGGAACACCAGUGGCGAAGGCGGCCUGCUGGACGACAACUGACGGUGAGGCGCGAAAGCGUGGGGAGCAAACAGGAUUAGAUACCCCAGUAGUC